AUUGAACGCUGGCGGAAUGCUUUACACAUGCAAGUCGAACGGCAGCACGGACUUCGGUCUGGUGGCGAGUGGCGAACGGGUGAGUAAUGCAUCGGAACGUGCCCAAUCGUGGGGGAUAACGUAGCGAAAGUUACGCUAAUACCGCAUACGAUCUAAGGAUGAAAGAGGGGGAUCGCAAGACUUAGCGAGAAUGGAGCGGUCGAUGUUAGAGUAGGUAGUUGGUGGGGUAAAGGCUCACCAAGCCGACGAUCUAUAGCUGGUCUGAGAGGAUGAUCAGCCACACUGGGACUGAGACACGGCCCAGACUCCUACGGGAGGCAGCAGUGAGGAAUUUUGGACAAUGGGCGCAAGCCUGAUCCAGCCAUUCCGCGUGCAGGAUGAAGGCCCUCGGGUUGUAAACUGCUUUUGUACAGAACGAAAAGCUCUGGGUUAAUACCCUGGGGUCAUGACGGUACUGUAAGAAUAAGCACCGGCUAACUACGUGCCAGCCGCCGCAGUAA
rnacentral:rRNA from 1 species